rnacentral:rRNA from 1 species
UACGUAGGCAGCGAGCGUUGUUCGGAGUUACUGGGCGUAAAGGGUGUGUAGGCGGUUGUUUAAGUUUGGGGUGAAAUCUCCCGGCUCAACUGGGAGGGUGCGCCGAAUACUGAAUGACUUCGAGUGCGGGAGAGGAGAGUGGAAUUCCCGGUGUAGCGGUGAAAUGCGCAGAUAUCGGGAGGAACACCAGUAGCGAAGGCGGCACUCUGGGCCGGUACUGACGCUGAGGAGCGAAAGCGUGGGGAGCAAACAGG